GUAAAAAUUUUAUAAGAAUAUGAUGUUGGUUCAGAUUAAGCGCUAAAUAAGGACAUGACACAUGCGAAUCAUACGUUUAUUAUUGAUAAGAUAAUAAAUAUGUGGUGUAAACGUGAGUAAUUUUAUUAGGAAUUAAUGAACUAUAGAAUAAGCUAAAUACUUAAUAUAUUAUUAUAUAAAAAUAAUUUAUAUAAUAAAAAGGAUAUAUAUAUAAUAUAUAUUUAUCUAUAGUCAAGCCAAUAAUGGUUUAGGUAGUAGGUUUAUUAAGAGUUAAACCUAGCCAACGAUCCAUAAUCGAUAAUGAAAGUUAGAACGAUCACGUUGACUCUGAAAUAUAGUCAAUAUCUAUAAGAUACAGCAGUGAGGAAUAUUGGACAAUGAUCGAAAGAUUGAUCCAGUUACUUAUUAGGAUGAUAUAUAAAAAUAUUUUAUUUUAUUUAUAAAUAUUAAAUAUUUAUAAUAAUAAUAAUAAUAAUAUAUAUAUAUAAAUUGAUUAAAAAUAAAAUCCAUAAAUAAUUAAAAUAAUGAUAUUAAUUACCAUAUAUAUUUUUAUAUGGAUAUAUAUAUUAAUAAUAAUAUUAAUUUUAUUAUUAUUAAUAAUAUAUUUUAAUAGUCCUGACUAAUAUUUGUGCCAGCAGUCGCGGUAACACAAAGAGGGCGAGCGUUAAUCAUAAUGGUUUAAAGGAUCCGUAGAAUGAAUUAUAUAUUAUAAUUUAGAGUUAAUAAAUAUAAUUAAAGAAUUAUAAUAGUAAAGAUGAAAUAAUAAUAAUAAUUAUAAGACUAAUAUAUGUGAAAAUAUUAAUUAAAUAUUAACUGACAUUGAGGGAUUAAAACUAGAGUAGCGAAACGGAUUCGAUACCCGUGUAGUUCUAGUAGUAAACUAUGAAUACAAUUAUUUAUAAUAUAUAUUAUAUAUAAAUAAUAAAUGAAAAUGAAAGUAUUCCACCUGAAGAGUACGUUAGCAAUAAUGAAACUCAAAACAAUAGACGGUUACAGACUUAAGCAGUGGAGCAUGUUAUUUAAUUCGAUAAUCCACGACUAACCUUACCAUAUUUUGAAUAUUAUAAUAAUUAUUAUAAUUAUUAUAUUACAGGCGUUACAUUGUUGUCUUUAGUUCGUGCUGCAAAGUUUUAGAUUAAGUUCAUAAACGAACAAAACUCCAUAUAUAUAAUUUUAAUUAUAUAUAAUUUUAUAUUAUUUAUUAAUAUAAAGAAAGGAAUUAAGACAAAUCAUAAUGAUCCUUAUAAUAUGGGUAAUAGACGUGCUAUAAUAAAAUGAUAAUAAAAUUAUAUAAAAUAUAUUUAAUUAUAUUUAAUUAAUAAUAUAAAACAUUUUAAUUUUUAAUAUAUUUUUUUAUUAUAUAUUAAUAUGAAUUAUAAUCUGAAAUUCGAUUAUAUGAAAAAAGAAUUGCUAGUAAUACGUAAAUUAGUAUGUUACGGUGAAUAUUCUAACUGUUUCGCACUAAUCACUCAUCACGCGUUGAAACAUAUUAUUAUCUUAUUAUUUAUAUAAUAUUUUUUAAUAAAUAUUAAUAAUUAUUAAUUUAUAUUUAUUUAUAUCAGAAAUAAUAUGAAUUAAUGCGAAGUUGAAAUACAGUUACCGUAGGGGAACCUGCGGUGGGCUUAUAAAUAUCUUAAAUAUUCUUACA
rnacentral:ncRNA from 13 species